rnacentral:rRNA from 4 species
GCGGCGUGCCUAAUACAUGCAAGUAGAACGCUGAAGAGAGGAGCUUGCUCUUCUUGGAUGAGUUGCGAACGGGUGAGUAACGCGUAGGUAACCUGCCUUGUAGCGGGGGAUAACUAUUGGAAACGAUAGCUAAUACCGCAUAACAAUGGAUGACACAUGUCAUUUAUUUGAAAGGGGCAAUUGCUCCACUACAAGAUGGACCUGCGUUGUAUUAGCUAGUAGGUGAGGUAACGGCUCACCUAGGCGACGAUACAUAGCCGACCUGAGAGGGUGAUCGGCCACACUGGGACUGAGACACGGCCCAGACUCCUACGGGAGGCAGCAGUAGGGAAUCUUCGGCAAUGGGGGCAACCCUGACCGAGCAACGCCGCGUGAGUGAAGAAGGUUUUCGGAUCGUAAAGCUCUGUUGUAAGUCAAGAACGAGUGUGAGAGUGGAAAGUUCACACUGUGACGGUAGCUUACCAGAAAGGGACGGCUAACUACGUGCCAGCAGCCGCGGU